ACUCCUACGGGAGGCAGCAGUAGGGAAUCUUCCACAAUGGUCGAAAGCCUGAUGGAGCAAUGCCGCGUGAGUGAAGAAGGUUUUCGGAUCGUAAAACUCUGUUGUUGAAGAAGAACAUGCGUGAGAGUAACUGUUCACGUACUGACGGUAUUCAACCAGAAAGCCACGGCUAACUACGUGCCAGCAGCCGCGGUAAUACGUAGGUGGCAAGCGUUGUCCGGAUUUAUUGGGGCGUAAAGAGAAUGUAGGCGGUUUUAUUAAGUUUGAAGUGAAAGCCCUCGGCUCAACCGAGGAAGUGCUUCGAAAACUGGUAAACUUGAGUGCAGAAGAGGAAAGUGGAACUCCAUGUGUAGCGGUGGAAUGCGUAGAUAUAUGGAAGAACACCAGUGGCGAAGGCGGCUUUCUGGUCUGUAACUGACGCUGAGAUUCGAAAGCAUGGGUAGCAAACAGGAUUAGAUACCCUGGUAGGAUAGCG
rnacentral:rRNA from 1 species